AAAGUUGAAAAUGGCACCUCACCGGCCUCCCCAAAUCCAAAAAGAGCGUAAUGCCUGCCAAAACUGCCUCCUCACUCCUCCACGACCCCAACCAAUCAUAUUUGCUAUUAUAGACCAACAAGAACCCACCUUUCUUUUUCUCUCUCUCCCUCUGAGAAACCCAUAACAGAAACCAACACAUAAAACCCAGAAAAGCUUUGACAAAGGGGACUGAGAGAGAGAGAGAGAGAGAGAGAGAGAGAGAGCUUGGCACUUGGGCUUUACCCAUUUUUCUUGCUCUGCAAUGGAGGUUGAAGAUGGCUCUUUCUCCUUCUCUCCUACUCUGUGGAAUGACCCACCUGGGCUUGAGAGGGUUGUUGAAAUUUUCAAAGGCGGAGGAGGAGCAUAUGGUUCGUCAUUGAUCUUGGGUAUUUGUCACCAGAUGCUGAAAUGUCAAGUGGAAGACAGAGGAUGAAGCGUUUUGGUGACUGUGACUUUCAUUCACAUGUGUUUGUAGCCAGACGUGUAUUUGUGGGCUUUACAUGGUUGUUGUUGGUCAUAAUGAUGCUGAUGAUAUGAUGAUGGAUGUGUGUAUAUUCCUACCCAAAUUUUCCAUAACAUUGAGUUAAUUUUAAAGAAUAUAGCGGUAUAGUUCUUUUA